UUGUGGCGCGAGAUUUUAAUCCGAAAGGAUCAAAGGCGCCGUGCAAAUGUUUUGAAGUCUGUCAAACCGCAUUCACCCACACCUGUCUCAUCUGUGCUAGGGACGGGAACUCUCGGUGAAGAUGAUGAAACAUAUACAACAGGUUUUACAAUCACUGAUGUUACUUGCCCGUUGGGGGAGAGAACGGCUAGAAAAGUCCUUAGUCGUAGAUGGAGGGGGACUACUGGUCCUGUUGUGGGCCGCGCCGGGCCAGCCACCCAGCGGCCAGGUGGUCAACUGCACAGUUGCAGUUGCAGGACCCUGGUGCUCAGGAGUCACAGUGGAAGAAGUCCAACAAGAGUUUUGGAGGAGACUGGGCCCCUCCCCCUGCCCUGCCCCUGACCCAGAGGAACUAUGUGCCUUCACCGAAAUCUAUGGCCCUCUCCACUUCCUUCUGUCCUUUCAGAUCAGUGAGGUGAAACUGGACAGGUGUAAGGUGUGGUCACACACAGAGGGCUUCUUGCACAAACUGAGCCUGACUAACGCAGGGGUGAAAAUUCACCUCAAAUUGAAAUUGGAAGGAGAAACAUACCAGAGAAUUUUUAGUGGGAAGGCAGAGAGACUCACCCUGAAGGACCAGACUGUGAUCAUGGACGUUGCUUCUUCUAUCACGCAGCCUCCCAUGUUAGUUGGAGCAGGCCCGUGGUGCCAGCGAGUCCACCCUGUAUUAGGAGGUGGGUUACCUCUACUUAUCCCACCUGAGGCCAUGGAGAGAGGCCUGUAUGGGGAGCUGCACCUUCUACCAGUCACUGUUCUCACCCCAUGUGUGUUGCAGUACCCCAACCUGGCAACCAGAGUCACACGCAUACAGGUGCUGCUGUACAGCCCCAGUAACCUUCCCCUGCUGGGGCCCUCAGCCUUCCUACAGCAGCUGCCUGCCUGUCUGGCCCUGGAGGGGCUGGGUCUCUCUGGGCUUACCUGUACCCCAACACACUCCACCACCUCAGAUCCACUCUGCAGUGACACUGUGUACAGUAUAGACAGAGCACAGUGUCAGGAAACUGAGCCAGAAUGGAUCCCCGCUGUGGAUCAGAACCUCUCUCUGUUCCUGUUCCUCCAGCACAGUGACCCCUUCCACUCCCAGCUCUCUGACUUCAUGGCCAGUGAGGAGCUGUUAGAGCUCCACCUGGAGGAUGUGUUGAGGUACAACAGGGAGGCGGUGACAGCAGCCCUGAACACACUGCUGCAGAGCACGCUGAAAGACCAGCAGCUGAGAGACAAGGCAAGUGCUCGUCUCUCUGCCUGUCUGUCUGUCUGUCUCUCUGUCAAUAUGUCUGUCUCUGUGUGUCGGUCUGCCCGCCCGCCUACCUGUUGGUCUGCCUGUCUCUCGGUCGGUCUUCCUGUCUGUCGAUCUGCCUGCCUGUCUGUCUGUCGGUCUGCCAGGCUCAGGAGAAGAUGUACUCUGCCCUGGGGGUGAUGCUGAGAUCUAUAGGCUGUGUGGUGAGCAGCAGCACCAACAUGGAGUUCAGAGCAGCCUGUCUGGACCGCAUGAUGGUGCAGGACACCUAUGAGCUGUCAGCCUCUCUCCAUGAGUCUCUACAGAGAGUCACAGCUGGCCGUGUAGUGCCUAGUGGCAGGUGUUACUGGGGACAGGCGGACACGCUCACCUGCAGCAGACCUAAGAACUUUGCAAGUGGGAAGGAAAUCUGAACAUGCUGACGUUUCGUUCUCUUGUACUAUAACAGUCAAUUCAUUGUAUUUGUUUUGUAUUAUAUAUUGUGAAAUUUAUUAAGUGCGAUAUAAAUAUGUAUGUUUCUAUGAAUGUAAAUUAAAACUGGAAGACACAGCGA